GAAUUUCGGUUAUCGAUGGGGAUGCGUUCCAUUAGGCAGUUGGUGGGGUAACGGCCCACCAAACCUUCGAUGGAUAGGGGUUCUGAGAGGAAGGUCCCCCACAUUGGAACUGAGACACGGUCCAAACUCCUACGGGAGGCAGCAGUGAGGAAUAUUGGUCAAUGGGCGAGAGUCUGAACCAGCCAAGUAGCGUGAAGGAUGACUGCCCUAUGGGUUGUAAACUUCUUUUAUAUGGGAAUAAAGUUUUCCACGUGUGGAAUUUUGUAUGUACCAUAUGAAUAAGGAUCGGCUAACUCCGUGCCAGCAGCCGCGGUAAUACGGAGGAUCCGAGCGUUAUCCGGAUUUAUUGGGUUUAAAGGGAGCGUAGGUGGACAGUUAAGUCAGUUGUGAAAGUUUGCGGCUCAACCGUAAAAUUGCAGUUGAUACUGGCUGUCUUGAGUACAGUAGAGGUGGGCGGAAUUCGUGGUGUAGCGGUGAAAUGCUUAGAUAUCACGAAGAACUCCGAUUGCGAAGGCAGCUCACUGGACUGCAACUGACACUGAUGCUCGAAAGUGUGGGUAUCAAACAGGAUUAGAUACCCUGGUAGUCCACACAGUAAACGAUGAAUACUCGCUGUUUGCGAUAUACAGUAAGCGGCCAAGCGAAAGCAUUAAGUAUUCCACCUGGGGAGUACGCCGGCAACGGUGAAACUCAAAGGAAUUGACGGGGGCCCGCACAAGCGGAGGAACAUGUGGUUUAAUUCGAUGAUACGCGAGGAACCUUACCCGGGCUUAAAUUGCAUUUGAAUAUAUUGGAAACAGUAUAGCCGUAAGGCAAAUGUGAAGGUGCUGCAUGGUUGUCGUCAGCUCGUGCCGUGAGGUGUCGGCUUAAGUGCCAUAACGAGCGCAACCCUUAUCUUUAGUUACUAACAGGUCAUGCUGAGGACUCUGGAGAGACUGCCGUCGUAAGAUGUGAGGAAGGUGGGGAUGACGUCAAAUCAGCACGGCCCUUACGUCCGGGGCUACACACGU
rnacentral:rRNA from 1 species